AAUCCACAGUGAUAGUGUUAUUGCUCUUGGUGUGUCAGUAGGUGUAUUGUUGAUUCUACUAACUGUCAGUGUUACUAUUAAUAUAUGCUGCUUUAUAAGAAAUAAAGUUCAUUUUGCCACAGGUGCUACUAUUAAAGACCCAAAAGCUGAUAAAGAUAUUGCCUUGCAAGUAUGUCAAACAUAUCAAAUUCACAAAACUGAAGUUGGGGAAGAGAUUGAAGUUGUCUAUGAUGAAUGUCAUGCAUCACCUGAUGCUACUCACACAUAUUAUGAACUCUGAUGAUUGACUGAAUAUUGAAUGGUUCUUUUGAACAAAUAUUAGACUAGGCCUAGCUAGAACUAUAAUUAUUGUA